rnacentral:rRNA from 1 species
CACGUAGGGCGCAAGCGUUUGUCCGGAAUUAUUGGGCGUAAAGAGCUCGUAGGCGGUUUGUCGCGUCUGCCGUGAAAGUCCGGGGCUCAACUCCGGAUCUGCGGUGGGUACGGGCAGACUAGAGUGAUGUAGGGGGAGACUGGAAUUCCUGGUGUAGCGGUGAAAUGCGCAGAUAUCAGGAGGAACACCGAUGGCGAAGGCAGGUCUCUGGGCAUUAACUGACGCUGAGGAGCGAAAGCAUGGGGAGCGAACAGG